UACGUAGGGUGCAAGCGUUGUCCGGAAUUAUUGGGCGUAAAGAGCUCGCAGGCGGUCUGUCGCGUCGGAUGUGAAAAUCCAGGGCUCAACCCUGGACCUGCAUUCGAUACGGGCAGACUAGAGUUCGGUAGGGGAGACUGGAAUUCCUGGUGUAGCGGUGAAAUGCGCAGAUAUCAGGAGGAACACCGGUGGCGAAGGCGGGUCUCUGGGCCGUAACUGACGCUGAGGAGCGAAAGCGUGGGGAGCGAACAGG
rnacentral:rRNA from 1 species